ACGCUGUCUGCUGGACCCCUACCUGCGCAUAGAUGAGGGGCAGAAGGCACAUAUCUCAGAAGACCUCAGCCUUAGCGAGGUGGCCCAAAGCUUCAAGUCCUCAAAAAGCAGCUCUCUGAACUGGUCCCAGGUUGACAGUGAUGAUGUACCUAAUCAGCGCAAGGAACAUUUGCUGGCUGUCAGCAGCUUUCUUUUCGCAUUGAUCUGGGGCUUUGGAGCCCACCUUCCCUCCAGGCUCUGGCCCCUCUUUGAUUCCUUCUUGAGGGGUUCUAUUAGUUGCCUCUCCAACUAUCCUGAGCCACCGCCUUCAGCCUUGGUGUUUGAUCUACAUGUGUGCCCUGAUAAUGGGAC